rnacentral:snRNA from 1 species
AACCACUUCGGUGGUCAUCCGCAAAAAUUGGAACGAUACAGAGAAGAUUAGCAUGGCCCCUGCGCAGGGAUGACACGCACAAAUCGAGAAGUAUGCUGUAUAGAC